GUGGCACAUCCAUGGGUGCAGUGUAACCUAGUGUUGCUAAUGAGUGACUGUAACCCAGUUCAGUUUUUUCUAGAAAGUGCUGUCCUUUAAGUAGCAUAAAGACAUGCAGACAUUCUCUUUAAGACAAUGAAAUUGGUGUGAGGGAACAUUUCUUCAAGUAGUAUGGUAGCACAAUGUUAUGUAAUUAAUGCAUUUUUCCAAAUGUUUAGUACUUUUCAGAAGCUUUAAGCAAGGGCACUUUUGUAAGAGAUUCUGGUACACAUACUGAGAUAAUUGAUUUGGAAGGCUCAGAUAUUAAAGCUGACAUGGAGCCUCACCUUGUUCAGUGGCAAGGCAAGUUGGAUGAGCUACAUGUCUUUUUCAAGAAGUUGUGCAAGUCACGCAAAAAGUCACUAUUCACUAUUCACUAUUGUUUUUCUUGCGUUAGAUCUGCUUUUUUCGAUUCGAUUGCACCUUGACUAUUUUUGUACCGCUACUCCUCUUGCGUUAUAUUUAUUUAAAUGAGCAAUUUUUAAAAGACAGAAAAUGUCCUUCUUUCAAUAACGUGGCGGAAUAAAACAAUUACACAAAGAUGUUACUAUGAUACUUUUUGGUACGAAAUAUUUUAUUUUUGACUAGCACUGUUAUGCCUAAUUUUGUCCAUAAACGGACAAAAUUGCUCCGAUUUUGAGACGACAUUACAGCUUUUUGGCAGCGAUCGCCAAGAAACUGAAUGUGCCACGGAAUUACACCCAAUUAAGAAAGAUAUUUUCUCCCUUCCAGCAGUCAUUAGAAAGCCGUUUUGUCCCCUCAAAAUCGGAUGUAGUUCACACGUUAAGGGUAAUAAACUGAUAAAAAAUGAUUUACAAUUAUCCUGUUGUCAAUAGGUUCUUAUUCACGUAAGCUGGGUCAUAAACUAUUUCUUGCGGCAGAAUCAUGGGGAAGAAGUUGUCCUUCAUUUUAAAAUCGCUGAAAUUGUAGUAACUAAACCUUGAAUGAAACUAUUGUAGGAAGAUUCAUUACUUGACGAGGGAAUUCCGCAUUUAAUUGCACGCGAAAAGCGAUACGCGAAGCGAUGAGUGCGAUAUCGGUUUUUAAGUGCAAUUUAACGCGGAAUUCACGAGCCAAGUAAUGGAUUUUCCUUGAAUCACAUAUUUGAAUAAAAACAAGAUAAAAAGAAAA